UGGAAGGCGCUCAAGCAGGCUUUCCACUCGGAGCGGGAGAGGCGCCGCCGGGCAGAACUGUGCUCGGCUCUGCUGCCGCCACACUUCCGAGCCAUGAGGAGCAUCUGGAAGGCGGCGGGGCAGCCCGUGUCUGGCAAACGGAGGAUGCCAGUCGUGAGGAGGCUGUCGUCCAGAAGGCGAAGGUCAGCUCCUGCCCCACGCCCUCCAUCCUCACCAGAGCCACCAGAGCACGACGUUGGCAGGGACACCCCCAGCAUGCUGCCGUCACCGAUGCUGCAGCGUGCCAAUGACGAGCCAGAGAGCUCAGCUGGUGGGAAACACGUUGCUGGAGCGCCACCCACAGCCCGUGCCAUGCCACACACCUGUUGCUGCGUCUCUUCCCUCUCCCUCCUGGGCUGUCACACUGACCUGAUGCAGAAAGGAGGUUUUCCUGGUGAGACGUCCCUGGGGAUGGGAAGAGGAAACCAAGUGCUGCCACUGGCUGCUGCAGCCACAGGCUCCCACGAGACAGCAGCCACAAGUGAGCAGCCAGCAGCAGGUGAAGAUGCAUCAGACACAAGCCUGCAUGAUCCUCGCGUGAAAGGCUUGGUCCUGAGUCUCCAGCGUCAAGUGGUGCAUGUCCUGCACACAUUCUGUCAGCAGCAGAAGGCAUAUCUGGAGAACGUCUUCCACAACCUCGGGCAGGGUGAGUCUGGAGUGCCCUGCUGCCCUGGUGCUCCUCACACUUCCUCGGAUCCCAAAGAGAACCCUCAGCUGUCCUCUGAUGGCAGGUGCGCCCCCGCCUGAGUGCCACCAUCGCUGGCCCUAGGAGCAACAGCUUUGCUACAGAGCCAUGGCACAUAUCUUUAUAUCAGAGGUUCCAGAUAUUUUUAGAGUUUAUACUAGAGAGAAGUUAAUAAAAUUAAAAAUAGCUUUUCUACCA
rnacentral:lncRNA from 1 species